rnacentral:rRNA from 1 species
GUCACUGCUAUUGGGAUUCGACUAAGCCAUGCGAGUCGAGAGGGUUCGGCCCUCGGCAAACGGCUCAGUAGCACGUGGAUAAUCUGCCCUUAGGUGGAGGAUAACCUCGGGAAACUGAGAAUAAUACUCCAUAGAUCUAGGAUGCUGGAAUGCACUUAGAUUGAAAGUUCCGGCGCCUAAGGAUGAGUCUGCGGACUAUCAGGUAGUAGUCAGGAUAAAGGCCUGACUAGCCUACGACGGAUACGGGUUGUGAGAGCAAUAACCCGGAGACGAUAUCUGAGACACGAUAUCGGGCCCUACGGGGCGCAGCAGGCGCGAAACCUUCACAAUGUGCGAAAGCGCGAUGAGGGGAUCCCAAGUGCUUGCUCGUAAGAGUAAGCUGUUUUUAUGUCUAAAACGCAUAGAGAGUAAGGGCUGGGUAAGACGGGUGCCAGCCGCCGCGGUAAUACCUGCAGCUCAAGUGGUGACCGCUAUUAUUGGGCCUAAAACAUUCGUAGCCGGUUUGGUAAAUGCCUGGGUAAAUCGUGUAGCUUAACUAUACGAAUUCCGGGUAGACUGCCAAACUUGAGACCGGGAGAAGCUAGAGGUACUCCUUGGGUAGAGGUGAAAUUCUGUAAUCCUAGGGGGACCACCAGUGGCGAAGGCGUCUAGCUAGAACGGGUUUGACGGUGAGGAAUGAAGCCCUGGGGCGCAAACCGGAUUAGAUACCCGGGUAGUCCAGGGUGUAAACGCUGCUUGCUUGAUGUUAGUUGGGCUCCGAGCCCAAUUAGUGUCGGAGAGAAGUUGUUAAGCAAGCUGCCUGGGAAGUACGAUCGCAAGAUUGAAACUUAAAGGAAUUAGCGGGGGAGCACAGCAACGGGUGGAGCGUGCGGUUUAAUUGGAUUCAACGCCGGG